rnacentral:rRNA from 1 species
UACGUAGGGUGCAAGCGUUAAUCGGAAUUACUGGGCGUAAAGCGUGCGCAGGCGGUUUUGUAAGGCAGAUGUGAAAUCCCCGGGCUUAACCUGGGAAUGGCAUUUGGGACUGCAAGGCUGGAGUGCGGCAGAGGAGACUGGAAUUCCUGGUGUAGCAGUGAAAUGCGUAGAUAUCAGGAGGAACACCGAUGGCGAAGGCAGGUCUCUGGGCUGACACUGACGCUCAUGCACGAAAGCGUGGGGAGCAAACAGG